rnacentral:rRNA from 1 species
CCUACGGGUGGCUGCAGUGGGGAAUAUUGGACAAUGGGGGGAACCCUGAUCCAGCCAUGCCGCGUGUGUGAAGAAGGCCCUCGGGUUGUAAAGCACUUUCAGUGAGGAAGAACGCCUGGUGGUUAAUACCCAUCAGGAAAGACAUCACUCACAGAAGAAGCACCGGCUAACUCCGUGCCAGCAGCCGCGGUAAUACGGAGGGUGCGAGCGUUAAUCGGAAUUACUGGGCGUAAAGCGCGCGUAGGUGGCUUGAUAAGCCGGUUGUGAAAGCCCCGGGCUCAACCUGGGAACGGCAUCCGGAACUGUCAAGCUAGAGUGCAGGAGAGGAAGGUAGAAUUCCCGGUGUAGCGGUGAAAUGCGUAGAGAUCGGGAGGAAUACCAGUGGCGAAGGCGGCCUUCUGGACUGACACUGACACUGAGGUGCGAAAGCGUGGGUAGCAAACAGGAUUAUAUAUCCGAGUAGUC